rnacentral:rRNA from 1 species
AUACAUGCAAGUCGAGCGGAUCUUCAUUAGCUUGCUUUUGAAGAUCAGCGGCGGACGGGUGAGUAACACGUGGGCAACCUGCCUGUAAGACUGGGAUAACUUCGGGAAACCGGAGCUAAUACCGGAUAAUCCUUUCCCUCACAUGAGGGAAAGCUGAAAGACGGCAUCUCGCUGUCACUUACAGAUGGGCCCGCGGCGCAUUAGCUAGUUGGUGAGGUAACGGCUCACCAAGGCAACGAUGCGUAGCCGACCUGAGAGGGUGAUCGGCCACACUGGGACUGAGACACGGCCCAGACUCCUACGGGAGGCAGCAGUAGGGAAUCUUCCGCAAUGGACGAAAGUCUGACGGAGCAACGCCGCGUGAACGAUGAAGGCUUUCGGGUCGUAAAGUUCUGUUGUCAGGGAAGAACAAGUACCGGAGUAACUGCCGGUACCUUGACGGUACGUGACCAGAAAGCCACGGCUAACUACGUGCCAGCAGCCGCGGUAAUACGUAUGUGGCAAGCGUUGUCCGGAAUUAUUGGGCGUAAAGCGCGCGCAGGCGGUUCCUUAAGUCUGAUGUGAAAGCCCCCGGCUCACCCGGGGGAGGGUCAUUGGAAAACUGGGGGAACUUGAGUGCAGAAGAGGAGAGC